AGACGCGUUGGUCGGGGGGAAGGUUCUAGAAAAGCGGCGGCAGCGGCUCUAGCGGCAGUAGCAGCAGCGCCGGCUCCCGUGUGGAGGUGCUCUUAGCGGUGUUGUUUCUCGAGCAGCAGCAGCUCUCACUACAGCGCCAGGACGAGUCCGGUUCGUGUUCGUCCGCGGAGAUCUCUCUCAUCUCGCUCGGCUGCGGGAAAUCGGGCUGAGGCGACUGAGUCCGCGAUGGAGAAAACUUUAGAAACUGUUCCUUUGGAGAGGAAAAAGAGAGAAAAGGAACAGUUCCGUAAACUUUUUAUUGGUGGCUUGAGCUUUGAAACCACAGAAGAAAGUUUGAGGAACUACUACGAGCAAUGGGGGAAACUUACAGACUGUGUGGUCAUGAGAGAUCCUGCAAGCAAAAGAUCAAGAGGAUUUGGUUUUGUAACUUUUUCGUCCAUGGCUGAGGUUGACGCUGCCAUGGCUGCAAGACCUCAUUCAAUUGAUGGGAGAGUGGUUGAGCCAAAACGUGCUGUUGCAAGAGAGGAAUCUGGAAAGCCAGGGGCUCACGUAACUGUGAAGAAGCUGUUUGUUGGUGGAAUUAAAGAAGAUACUGAGGAACAUCAUCUUAGAGAUUACUUCGAAGAGUAUGGAAAGAUUGAUACCAUUGAGAUAAUUACUGAUAGGCAGUCUGGAAAGAAAAGAGGCUUUGGAUUUGUUACCUUUGAUGAUCACGAUCCCGUGGAUAAAAUUGUGUUGCAGAAAUACCAUACCAUCAAUGGUCAUAAUGCAGAAGUAAGAAAGGCUCUGUCUAGACAAGAAAUGCAGGAAGUCCAGAGUUCUAGAAGUGGAAGAGGAGGCAACUUCGGUUUUGGAGAUUCUCGUGGUGGUGGUGGAAAUUUUGGACCAGGCCCGGGAAGUAACUUUAGAGGAGGAUCUGAUGGAUAUGGAAGUGGUCGCGGAUUUGGGGAUGGCUAUAAUGGGUAUGGAGGAGGACCUGGAGGUGGCAAUUUUGGAGGUAGCCCUGGUUAUGGAGGAGGAAGAGGAGGAUAUGGUGGUGGAGGACCUGGAUAUGGCAACCAGGGUGGGGGCUACGGAGGUGGUUAUGACAACUAUGGAGGAGGAAAUUACGGAAGUGGAAAUUACAAUGAUUUUGGAAAUUAUAACCAGCAACCUUCUAACUAUGGUCCAAUGAAGAGUGGAAACUUUGGUGGUAGCAGGAACAUGGGGGGACCAUAUGGUGGAGGAAACUAUGGUCCUGGAGGCAGUGGAGGAAGUGGGGGUUAUGGAGGGAGAAGCCGAUAUUGAGCUUCUUCCUAUUUGCCAUGGGUAAGUAGCUUUUGAGUUUUACCUUAUUAUUGUCUUGGGAGAUCUAGCUGCCAGGAGUAAAAGCUUUUUAGGAUCAUGUUAUCUUUCCUUAAAAUCUGGUUAGAUGGAUAAUUUCAUAACCUAUUUUUUUUUUACUCUUUACUUCUGUUGAAACAGGCUUCACUGUAUAAAUAGGAGAGGAUGAGAGCCCAGAGGUAACAGAACAGCUUCAGGUUAUCGAAAUAACAAUGUUAAGGAAACUCUUAUCUCAGUCAUGCAUAAAUAUGCAGUGAUAUGGCAGAAGACACCAGAGCAGAUGCAGAGAGCCAUUUUGUGAAUGGAUUGGAUUAUUUAAUAACAUUACCUUACUGUGGAGGAAGGAUUGUAAAAAAAAAAAAAAUGCCUUUGAGACAGUUUCUUAGCUUUUUAAUUGUUGUUUCUUUCUAGUGGUCUUUGUAAGAGUGUAGAAGCAUUCCUUCUUUGAUAAUGUUAAAUUUGUAAGUUUCAGGUGACAUGUGAAACCUUUUUUAAGAUUUUUCUCAAAGUUUUGAAAAGCUAUUAGCCAGGAUCAUGGUGUAAUAAGACAUAACGUUUUUCCUUUAAAAAAAUUUAAGUGCGUGUGUAGAGUUAAGAAGCUGUUGUACAUUUAUGAUUUAAUAAAAUAAUUCUAAAGGAAAUUGUGUAAUUAUAGACUUUUUAUUUUAAAUAAGUUAAGGAGUGGGUAGUAUAAUUAAGGUCCUUUGCAAAGUUGUUGUUAUAUUUGUGUAAGAUAAAUGCUGGUCAGAUAUAAGUGUGUUGUCUGCAAUUCAUCAGGAUUAAAUUAUCUAGAUAACUUAAGGGAUAUCUCUGCAAAGAGAAACACCUUUUUAGAUCUUUUAGAUGCUGCUUCUUCAAUGCAAGGAAAGGAAAUAACCCCAGCGAGGUACUCUUCAGGGAUACAGGUCUAGUACAAGAGAACUCUUGACGGCUACUAAGUUCAGCCAGUCUUAAAAAACUGUGCUGUUUCUACAAAGCUUUAACUACAGUAGUUUAUAAGGAUGACAACGAAAGCUGAGGGUGUAGAGCAAAAUAGUUCUAAGCUUCAGUUAAACUUCUUUAGGUAAGAUCUUAUUUACUUUUCCUUUCUUAAUUUUCCUCCCCAAAAGAUAAACUAAUACUAUUCUUCAAUGGUCUUUCAGUAUAGUGGUUCUUAUGUAGUUUAACAUAGCUAUAAAUUUGAGUUUAACAAUUUAUAAACUCAAGAGAAUCUUAUAAACCCUGUUUUCCAAUCUGUCAUUUACUUAAAUUAUUUUGGUUGUUUUUUUCCCCCCUUUUUUCCCUUCUUUCCCACCCCCUCCUCCCUCUAUGAAGAUUCAGGUGCUUAACAUAUCAUUUUUUUCCCUGCUGGAAUUUAGCAUUGAUAUGAACCAUGGACAAGUAUAUUCUGCUGCCACAAAGACUGUAAAGUGCUUCAUUUCAACAGCUGAGGCGCAAGCCAAGUGAUCAUUAAUAAAGCUUUUCUUGGUUCCUUCAGUGGUGUUGGUAGUAAAAUGGAAGGUGUCUUGCUGCAGGUAACUAAUGAAGAAGUGGUCAACCACAGAGUCUUCAAGAAAUAAGAAAUACUGUACCAUCUGAAAGUAGUUCUUGUUGGUGCCUUCAUUUAAAAAAAAGCACUUUAAGAUUAAAGGGAAAUGUUUUCUGAUAAAAUACAUCAUUUAGUACAGGUUCUUAAUAUAAAACCAUUACAAAUUGAGUACUGUUUGUAAAAGAGUAACAUCAAGUAAGCUAGAUAGAGAAAUGUAUCAUGUUUUAAAUUAGGUUUUGUGAGUAGACAGAUUAAAAUUCUAUUUUAAAUAUAAAGUUUAUAAAAUAAACACUUUUGUAUUCAAA